CCUCCACUCCGGCCGCCAUCGCCCCUCCUCCGUGCUGUAUGUGUGUUGUGAGAGAGAAAACAGAAGAGGAGAAGAGAGGAUACGGGAGCAGGAGGAAGGAAAGAGAAGAAGAGAAGGAAGGGAGGUGGGAAGUAAAUGAUGAGGGCCCCACUGGACCCCACCCUCCUUUUAUUUGCUGCCCCCCUGCGCCACACAGAAAAGAAGAAGAGAAGAGGAGAGGCUACGCGAGAAGGGA
rnacentral:lncRNA from 1 species